AUCUCUUUUCUUAUGGCAUUUGAAGGACGCCGUGAAAUUCCAAAUUAAAACGUGGGUACAGAUAUAGCGGUAUAGAAAUUUGCAUAAACCUAAUUGUGUGGACCGUGCAGACAUAGCUAUAAAUUGAAUAUGUAUAAAAAUGUGAUUAAAUGUGGUGCAAGAACAGCAAUGCAAGCCUGGAAGGCCAAAAAUGGUAAUAUGCCAUCAACAUUUUAGGAACGCAGGAACGUUUAGCGGAACCUGUUGUAUAAUUUUAUUUAUUGCCAAACUAGUGGAUUUCGGCGAAGUGUUCAUGACACAUAACAACAAUACAAUUUAGUUAAACUUGGCAUACUUGUUUUCUCAAUCUUAAAUAUUUGGGUGCAUAAAUUUCAGGGUAAGAAAAUUGGCCAUUCUCUACACAUCGCAGGGAAUCCAGAUUUAAAAUUGUAUUAAGUCCCAUCACAAAGCCACGUGACAUAUGUAGUGGUGUCAUCCUCGUCAAGCUUCUAUAGGCGAGCAAGCCCGUUCCUGUCCAUAGAAACGAUCGCCGCGGGAACAAGAUGAGCGUUAGUUAUUUAAAGGCGGCAAUAACUCACCUUGGCGGCAAUAACUCGAACCUCAUAGGCACUCACAUUGGUUUCAUUACGUUUUGUGAAUACGGCCGUCAGUAUUUAAGCGACGACAAUUGAAUCUACUCCAGCAUUCCACUAUACGCAAGCUUCAGGUGAUAAAUACGAACAGCACACAGAUCGGAGCUCAAAGUACCAGCCUUUGUGGCGCUCACAUUUAUCCCGUGCCGAAGAUGUUCACCAUUAUCAUGAGAAGCCCAGCUGAGAGAUACCGAGCGCGUUUACAGAUAGUGGACAGUGGAAUUGCCGUAAAGUAUAGCUGCAGUCUCGUACAAUCAGCGGUUAAAGUGGCGAAUUUCAGUGAGAUACAGAAAGGCAAAAAAAUUAAUAAAUAUGUGGGUACCAUGGUUGAAUUAAGAAGGUUGGCUCAAUUGCCCAGCUGAUGGAAUUGCCCAACUUCAGAGUUGAAUGCAAAUCACACUAGACCGUCAAAUGCUUGGUUUGGAUUUUAAAUUUUUUUUCACAAUUUAAUAGUUUUAAUUUAUAAUUUACACGUUUAUAAUUAUAAAUCUUUUGAUCUUGUGGUGGCUACACAUGAUAAUACAUAUAACGAGCGUGUGUCGAAUGAUAGCAAUCUCCUAUGAUCAGAUGUAAAAAUGACGGUGAGAAAAAAAAAUCAUUUUGCUGUGCCAAUCGACCAUUUUUUCUAACACUGACAAAUUUUGACGUUUGGCAAAAAUCAAAAGUAAACAUGAUGUGCGCGCCACAUAAUAACAGAAAAAAGACAGAAAGUAAUAAUUAUUUGCGUAAUGAAUAUUUUUUAAAAAAUAUUUUCCAUUACUGCUAGCAGUUUUAAAUUGCUAAUACGAACGUUGCAAUAUGGAAAUAUUUUAGGUCUUGCUUUGGAAAAGAGGAAAACAUGGCGAGUAAGACAAGUUGUGUUUUUUUAAAGACAUCUGUAUUAAUUAUAUUAAUGAAGUUUUGUACAUGAAACCUUCUUCACGAAAAAUGAAUGCAAAUGCAAAUUUGCCUCUAUUUUUUCUAUUGUUUACAUUAAAAUGAUGAACGAAACUCAUGCCAGUUAAACAAACUUUUAGUGAUUUUUCUACGACGCUGUAGAAAAUCACUAAACGGCGGCAUUUCAAUCAUUUCAAUAAACUACAAACACAAUACUGUACUUUUGUCAUUAUUGUUAAAUAACAACCUUUUAGAAUC